rnacentral:rRNA from 1 species
UACGAAGGGGGCUAGCGUUGUUCGGAAUUACUGGGCGUAAAGCGUAUGCAGGCGGAUCUUUAAGUCAGGGGUGAAAUCCUGGGGCUCAACCUCAGAACUGCCUUUGAUACUGGAGAUCUUGAGUCCGGGAGAGGUUAGUGGAACUGCGAGUGUAGAGGUGAAAUUCGUAGAUAUUCGCAAGAACACCAGUGGCGAAGGCGGCUAACUGGCCCGGUACUGACGCUGAGAUACGAAAGCGUGGGGAGCAAACAGG